rnacentral:rRNA from 1 species
GACGAACGCUGGCGGCGUGCCUAAUACAUGCAAGUAGAACGCACAGUUUAUACCGUAGCUUGCUACACCAUAGACUGUGAGUUGCGAACGGGUGAGUAACGCGUAGGUAACCUGCCUGGUAGCGGGGGAUAACUAUUGGAAACGAUAGCUAAUACCGCAUAAUAUUAAUUAUUGCAUGAUAAUUAAUUGAAAGGUGCAAUUGCACCACUACCAGAUGGACCUGCGUUGUAUUAGCUAGUAGGUGAGGUAACGGCUCACCUAGGCGACGAUACAUAGCCGACCUGGGAGGGUGAUCGGCCACACUGGGACUGAGACACGGCCCAGACUCCUACGGGAGGCAGCAGUAGGGAAUCUUCGGCAAUGGACGAAAGUCUGACCGAGCAACGCCGCGUGAGUGAAGAAGGUUUUCGGAUCGUAAAGCUCUGUUGUAAGAGAAGAACGGGUGUGGGAGUGGAAAGUUCACACUGUGACGGUAUCUUACCAGAAAGGGACGGCUAACUACGUG